rnacentral:rRNA from 1 species
GACGAACGCUGGCGGCGUGCUUAACACAUGCAAGUCGAACGGAAAGGCCCUGCUUUUGUGGGGUGCUCGAGUGGCGAACGGGUGAGUAACACGUGAGUAACCUGCCCUUGACUUUGGGAUAACUUCGGGAAACUGGGGCUAAUACCGGAUAGGAGCUCCUGCUGCAUGGUGGGGGUUGGAAAGUUUCGGCGGCUGGGGAUGGACUCGCGGCUUAUCAGCUUGUUGGUGGGGUAGUGGCCUACCAAGGCUUUGACGGGUAGCCGGCCUGAGAGGGUGACCGGCCACAUUGGGACUGAGAUACGGCCCAGACUCCUACGGGAGGCAGCAGUGGGGAAUAUUGCACAAUGGGCGGAAGCCUGAUGCAGCAACGCCGCGUGCGGGAUGACGGCCUUCGGGUUGUAAACCGCUUUCGCCUGUGACGAAGCGUGAGUGACGGUAAUGGGUAAAGAAGCACCGGCUAACUACGUG